CCUACGGGGGGCAGCAGUGGGGAAUAUUGGACAAUGGGGGGAACCCUGAUCCAGCCAUGCCGCGUGUGUGAAGGAGGCCCUCGGGUUGUAAAGCACUUUCAGUGAGGAAGAACGCCUGGUGGUUAAUACCCAUCAGGAAAGACAUCACUCACAGAAGAAGCACCGGCUAACUCCGUGCCAGCAGCCGCGGUAAUACGGAGGGUGCGAGCGUUAAUCGGAAUUACUGGGCGUAAAGCGCGCGUAGGUGGCUUGAUAAGCCGGUUGUGAAAGCCCCGGGCUCAACCUGGGAACGGCAUCCGGAACUGUCAAGCUAGAGUGCAGGAGAGGAAGGUAGAAUUCCCGGUGUAGCGGUGAAAUGCGUAGAGCUCGGGAGGAAUACCAGUGGCGAAGGCGGCCUUCUGGACUGACACUGACACUGAGGUGCGAAAGCGUGGGUAGCAAACAGGAUUAGAUACCCCUGUAGUC
rnacentral:rRNA from 1 species